GACUGAGUGGCGGACGGGUGAGUAACGCGUGGGUAACCUGCCUCAUACAGGGGGAUAACAGUUAGAAAUGACUGCUAAUACCGCAUAAGCGCACAGUGCUGCAUGGCACAGUGUGAAAAACUCCGGUGGUAUGAGAUGGACCCGCGUCUGAUUAGCUAGUUGGUGGGGUAACGGCCUACCAAGGCGACGAUCAGUAGCCGGCCUGAGAGGGUGAACGGCCACAUUGGGACUGAGACACGGCCCAAACUCCUACGGGAGGCAGCAGUGGGGAAUAUUGCACAAUGGGGGAAACCCUGAUGCAGCGACGCCGCGUGAGCGAAGAAGUAUUUCGGUAUGUAAAGCUCUAUCAGCAGGGAAGAAAAUGACGGUACCUGACUAAGAAGCACCGGCUAAAUACGUGCCAGCAGCCGCGGUAAUACGUAUGGUGCAAGCGUUAUCCGGAUUUACUGGGUGUAAAGGGAGCGUAGACGGUUGUGUAAGUCUGAUGUGAAAGCCCGGGGCUCAACCCCGGGACUGCAUUGGAAACUAUGUAACUAGAGUGUCGGAGAGGUAAGCGGAAUUCCUAGUGUAGCGGUGAAAUGCGUAGAUAUUAGGAGGAACACCAGUGGCGA
rnacentral:rRNA from 1 species